CUAAAUAUGAAAUCAAGUACUCUUUACUUAUUAAGUUCCAUAAGGUAAUAUAUUUAAACAUUAUGUGUGUUUUCAUAAAUUGGUAAAUGGAAAAAGGUUUAAUAUUGCUUUGUGUCUGUGUCUUUGCUAAAACAAGGUUACUAAGUGUUAAGAUUCUAUCAUGUGUAAUUUAUAUACAAAGAGUAGAAAAAUUUUCAGUUAGGUUUCAAUUAUAGUAUUAUAGUAUCAUAAAAAACAUGAAAGUCUUUCAUCUUAUUAAAGUGGAGUAAUUUGUCUAAAUCAGAAAUUUUAUAAGAGUUGUUUCAAAAUGUGAAUUUAUAAAAAGGGUUAAUGGUUAAAAAAGAGAUAGAAAAAGAUUCAAGAUGUGGAAAUAUAUUUUAAUAUAAAAGGUUAAAGGAAAAAGAAAUGUUUCUAGAUGAGAUAAUCUCUGUGUGGUAAAGUAAAAAGUUGUAAAUGCCAUUUAAAAAGAUUUUGAGGAAACUAGACUUACUUUAAAAGCUUGAGAAAGGAAGAAAGAAGAAAAAGAUAUUUGUACAUGGCAGAUUGAGACAAAGCUUCUCAAUGGAGUUAAAAAAAAGGCCUUUGGUUGAAGGGCAGCCAUGUAAACUAACAUUAAAGCGAUUUAAACAGAAUCUAAGCCUCGUUUAAAAGAGUGAAGUUGUAGGUGGUGAAAAAGUACAUUUAAAAGUACAGUAUAGAUGAUAAUUAAAAGGCUUUAAAAGGUUAAAUUGAAGGUGGUUAAAAUGCCUUCAUGAUGGAGGAAAGAAGCUUAAUCUUAAAGGCAUUACUUUAAAAAAAAUGGGAAGAUAAUAGGAUAAAAGAUAUUUAGAUAAAGAAGAUUAAAAAUUUAAAGUGAAAAACUUUAAAGACAGAAGUAUAGAAAGUUAAAAAGAAAAAAGAUAAAGAAGAUGUAGAAAGAUAAAAAAAAUGUAGGAAGACAAGAAUUUUAAACCCACA
rnacentral:lncRNA from 1 species